UACGAAGGGGGGCUAGCGUUGCUCGGAAUCACUGGGCGUAAAGCGCACGUAGGCGGAUUGCUAAGUCAGGGGUGAAAUCCUGGAGCUCAACUCCAGAACUGCCUUUGAUACUGGCGGUCUCGAGUCCGGGAGAGGUGAGUGGAACUGCGAGUGUAGAGGUGAAAUCGUAGAUAUUCGCAAGAACACCAGUGGCGAAGGCGGGGUCUCUGGACAGUUCCUGACGCUGAGGCACGAAGGCCAGGGGAGCAAACGGG
rnacentral:rRNA from 1 species